rnacentral:rRNA from 1 species
UACGUAGGGGGCAAGCGUUGUCCGGAUUUAUUGGGCGUAAAGAGCGUGUAGGCGGCUUUACAGGUCCGUUGUGAAACGUCGAGGCUCAACCUCGAGACGUCGGUUGAAACCGUAUGGCUAGAGUCCGGAAGAGGAGAGUGGAAUUCCCGGUGUAGCGGUGAAAUGCGUUGAUAUCGGAAGGAACGCCGGUGGCGAAAGCGGACUGCUGGACCUUUCUGACGCUGAGGCGCGAAAGCCCAGGGGAGCGAACGGGG